rnacentral:rRNA from 1 species
UGGGGAAUAUUGGACAAUGGGGGCAACCCUGAUCCAGCCAUGCCGCGUAAGUGAUGAAGGCCCUAGGGUUGUAAAGCUCUUUUGUGCGGGAAGAUAAUGACGGUACCGCAAGAAUAAGCCCCGGCUAACUUCGUGCCAGCAGCCGCGGUAAUACGAAGGGGCUAGCGUUGCUCGGAAUCACUGGGCGUAAAGCGCACGUAGGCGGAUCCUUAAGUCGGGGUGAAAUCCUGGAGCUCAACUCCAGAACUGCCUUCGAUACUGAGGAUCUCGAGUCCGGGAGAGGUGAGUGGAACUGCGAGUGUAGAGGUGAAAUUCGUAGAUAUUCGCAAGAACACCAGUGGCGAAGGCGGCUCACUGGCCCGGUACUGACGCUGAGGUGCGAAAGCGUGGGGAGCAAACA